rnacentral:rRNA from 1 species
UACGUAGGGUGCGAGCGUUGUCCGGAAUUACUGGGCGUAAAGAGCUCGUAGGCGGUUUGUCGCGUCGUCCGUGAAAACUUGGGGCUCAACCCCAAGCUUGCGGGCGAUACGGGCAGACUUGAGUACUGCAGGGGAGACUGGAAUUCCUGGUGUAGCGGUGAAAUGCGCAGAUAUCAGGAGGAACACCGGUGGCGAAGGCGGGUCUCUGGGCCGAUACUGACGCUGAGGCACGAAAGCGUGGGGAGCAAACAGG